UACAGAGGGUGCAAGCGUUAAUCGGAAUUACUGGGCGUAAAGCGUGCGUAGUCGGUUAUUUAAGUCGGAUGUGAAAUCCCCGGGCUCAACCUGGGAAUUGCAUUCGAUACUGGAUAGCUAGAGUUCAGCAGAGGGAAGUGGAAUUUCUGGUGUAGCGGUGAAAUGCGUAGAUAUCAGAAGGAACAUCAGUGGCGAAAGCGACUUCCUGGACCAGAACUGACGAUCAGGCACGAAAGCGUGGGGAGCAAACAGG
rnacentral:rRNA from 1 species